CCUGCCAAUGGACAAAGGCAAAACCCUGAAGAGAGGUGGGACAUCAGCCUCUUACUCUCCGGAUACAGCCUCUGAGAAUCCGCCCAGACACUCCCACUUCGCCAGUGGUCAGAGAAAGGGAGGUGGCUUAAGGCCGGAUGUGCUGCUUUCACGGGAGUCUGCUGAUCCUGAGACGGAAGGCAGGGAGUCUUUGGGGGUCCCACCUGUUUAGUUCCGCAAGAAAACAAGGACAGAAGUAGAGAACAAGGCACUAUGGCCUGCACUUAACUCGGUCUUUAUUGCUGUGUCUCUGGAUUUGUAGGUCACUCGUCUCGACUUUUCAGGUCCCACACGAUUCCUUGGGGCGGACGACCAGUGACUGACACAGCAUAUACAACUUGGAGGCCCAGCUGUCCUCUGGAUGCACCACCGCGGUGAUCCCAUCAAAUGAAGAGCUGGUGCAGUCAUAUACCAUCUCUCUGUUGCCCUUCAUGUGUAGUUCAAAGGCCAUCACGUGACCAUUCCUGGAAGCCAUGAACACACACGCCACUUCAUACCAGGAACGGAACCAAUAGAAAAGACAGUUCCACCAAGUCCAGCUUUGGGUGAACAGUGAGGACCACUGGGGCCACUUACGAGAUGGUGGGCAACUGAAGAGUGGCUACAUCCUUGAAAAGUCUCCCCUAGCGAUUGUUAAGGGCUUAACUACUCUGAGGAGCGUUGUACUGGCUGGUUCUGUGUGUCAACGUGACACAAGCUGGAGUUAUGGAGAAAGGAGCCUCCCUUGAGGAAAUGCCUCCAUAAGAUUCAGCUCAUGAAUGAGGCAUUUUCUCAAUUAGUGAUCGAGGGGGAGGACCCAGCCCAUUGUGGGUGGUGCCAUCCCUGGGCUGGUGGUCCUGGGUUCUAUAAGAAAGCAAGCUGAGCAAGCCAGGGGAAGCAAGCCAGUAAGAAACAUCCCUCCUUGGCCUCUGCCUCAGCUCCUGCUUCCUGACCUGCUUGAGUUCCAGUCCUGACUUCCUUUGGUGAUGAACAGCGAUGCGGAAGUGUAAGCUGAAUAAACCCUUUCCUCCCCAGCUUGCUUCUUGGUCAUGAUAUUUUAUUCAGGAAUACAAACCCUGACCAAGACAAGCCAACAUAGUGGGGUAUUCCUGUGACAACCUGACCAUGUUUGAAGGAAGACUGUGUAAGGACUUUGGAACUUUGAGCUAGAAGAGCCAUUGGGUGUUCAGAGCUCUGUGGAUGUUCUGUAGGAGCUUGGAAGAUAAUGUUGAGUACUGUGUAAACGAUGAAGGCCUGCUUUGUGAAAUUUCACAGGGACAAUUAAAGACUCUUAUCAGAGCCAUUGCUGUUUUGAUUGUGAAGAUUCUGUGGUUUUGGUUAGCUGGGGCUGAGGAAUCAGCUGUGAUUAACAAGAUACCAGAACUACUAAAGCGAAACCUUUGCAUUAUUGGGACUAUUGAUGCUGGUCAGCUGGAGCUAAGAAAUUAGUGCUGAUUAAGAAGAGACCAGCAUCACUGAGGUGAAAUCUUCUGGGAAGUGUUUCCUGAGAGCACAGAGAAGCUGUGUUCCAGAGGCAGCCACGGUUGUACCUUGUGUUGGUAGCCAGACUUGGUAAUGUAUAAGAGUCACCCAGGUGGGACUAGUUUUGAAGGCAUGAAGGGGUCAUGAAGAGCAGCUGAGAAUUGGCACUGUGAGAGGCGAGGAGAGGCCAUUGGUGAAGGUGCAGCCUCAGAGGCAGUUCAGGCCCAGGACUGAAGGGGUCGUGCAGAGACGCUGAGGCUUAGCACCAUGAAAAGAUCCUGAGAGGCUGUUUGUGAAAGUGCAGACCAGUUGCAGCAGAAGACAGCAGAGUUUUGGAGAUGCCAGUGCCAUGAGAUGACCACCAAGAACAGCAGCAGCAGCUGGAGCCUAGAAGACAAGGUGUGUGCUACAAAGGGCAGAGCUGGAGAAGUGACCCAAGCCUUUGGAGGAACCCAGAAGAUUGUGAGUGGAUCCCAAACAUUGGAUGGUUAGACUUUGAUUUUGCUUUUGACUGUGACUGUGCUCUGAUAUUUUUCCCUCUUGAAAGAAAAAAAGUAUUUUAGUGGAGCCCACAGAUAAGAGACUUUGAAUAGUAAAAAGAUUUUGAAAAAGAGAUUGGAUAUUUUAAAGAGGUUGAAAUUUUAAUAUGGAAGUAUUUAUAUGGAUUUUUAAAGUUAUUUAGAUCUUGAGGAUGAAGAAAGUCAGGGUUGAGGCUUAAUAGUGAUGUGUUUGUGUGUCAAGUUGACAAGGAGUCAGUUGUGCUGGCUGCUUUUAUGUGUCAACUUGAUACAAGCUGGAGUUAGCACAGAGAAAGGAGCCUCCCUUGAGGAAAUGCCUCCAUGAGAUCCAGCUGUAAGGCGUUUUCUCAAUUAGUGAUCAAGAGGGGAGGGCCCAGCCCAUUGUGGGUGGAGCCAUCCCUGGGCUGGUGAUCUUGGGUUCUAUAAGAGAGCAAGCUGAGCAAGCCAGGGGAAGCAAGCCAGUCAGUAUCAUCCCUCCAUGGCCUCUGCAUCAGCUCCUGCUUCCUGACCUGCUUGAGUUCCAGUCCUGACUUCCUUUGGUGAUGAACAGCGAUGUGGAAGUGUAAGCUGAAUAAAACCCUUUCCUCCCCAGCUUGUUUCUUGGUCAUGAUGUUUUGUGCAGGAAUAGGAACCCUGACUAAGACAUGGGGCACGGCGUCUGCGUGGCUUUGGUAGCACACCCAUCUCCACCUUCCGUGAGGGAAUGUUAGUGGGCCAGUCUUGUGAGGAGUCUAAUGUCAACAGUCAGCAGCCAUGUCAGUCAUGUCAAGGCCAGACAACAGAGUUCCACAACACUGUUCCCCUUCAGAUACAGAGGAUAACAGGAUAUCCUCUUUUUAUGUGGCUUAUUUUGCUUAGCACAAUGACCUCAGUGUCCAUUCAUGCUGUCGCAUACAUCAGAAUAUUUUUGUGCCUGGAUUAUCAAACCAAAUAAACAAAAAUCUUAAAGGGUAUGGAGUAGUACUUAACUGUGGCUUCGCUUUGGAUUUUAUAGUUUUUUAUUUUCCUCCAAGUUUAAUUUUUUACUUAAGAUAGAUGUAGGAUGAUGUCAUUAUGCAGCAAGGCGGGUCCAGGAUAAGGCGUAGCCUAUCAUUGGAUGAGAAGGGAGGGUAGGCGGGGAAAAGCCUAGGAAGGAGGGAGGAGGAGGAGCGAGGGAAAUCAAGAUGGAGACAACAGAGCAGGAUGAUCCAGAUUGAGGUAGACUGGGUUGAUUUUGUCUUGUCUAGGUGGACGGUUUAAAUCUUUAUUAAUUGGCAGUGAAUUUAUUGUGUGGAUGUAUUGUGGAUUGGGAAUUUAACAUGUAAAUUUGAUUGUUGGGUUACAGUUAGUCGAGUCUUGAUUUUACGGGGUAGGUGGCUGGAACCAGUGUGUUCCGGGCUGGCAAGGGCUGGCCAGGGCGAUUAGCAUUGGGAGCAGAGAUACCCUGGGGCUAGACGAUAGCUAGGCUAACAUGGCGUGGUGCCACACUGAAGCCAGCCGCCACUGAGAUAAACUAAGGUUAGUUCUGCAUGGCCCUACAACUAACAUCAGGGAGCAAACGCCUGGAUCCGAGAGUACCAGGGAGGGGCCAGCGUGGAGCGGUGACCUCAGGAACCAAUUGUGCCCUUUUUUAAUCUUACCACAACAGAUCUAUCCAUCCAUCCAUCUAUCUAUCUAUCUAUCUAUCUAUCUAUCUAUCUAUCUAUCUAGUUUUUCCAAGAUAGUUUCUCUGUGUAGUCCUGGUUGUCCUGGGACUUGCUCUGCAGACCAGGCUGGCCUCAAACCCACAGAGAUUCCCCUGCCUCUGCCUCCCAAGUGCUGGGAUUAAAAGUGUGCGCCACUGGGGUUGGGGAUUUAGCUCAGUGGUUGAGCGCUUGCCUAGCAAGCGCAAGGCCCUGAGUUCGGUCCCCAGCUCCAGAAAAAAAAAAAAAAAAGAGAGAGAAAAAAAAAAAAAAAAAGUGUGCGCCACCACCACCUGGCUUAUUAUUUAAAGCACAGGAGUGGAACUGUUUUCUUUACAAACCAGGGACAGCUCCUCAGCUGCAAUGCUGCUUUUCGUUUUGUUUUAAGAUUUAUUUUUAUUUUAAGUAUGUCAGUAUGCCGUCGCUGCCUGCAGACACACCAAAAGAGGGCACCGAAUCCCACUACAGAUAGUUGUGAGCCACCGUGUGGUUACUGGGAAUCGAACUGAGGACCUCUGGAAGAACAGUUGGUGCUCUUAACCGCUGAGCCGUCUCUCCAGCCCAGCCUCGCGAAGAAUUUGACUGAAUUUAUUGACCCAUUGACUCGGGUGAGUCUCUGACACCCACGGGAGUUAAGGACUGGCAAUCAAGAGAGGCACUGAGAUGGGAGCUUCCUGGUGUCGCUGCUGUGCCUUUCUCCUUGAAUUACGUUUGGUUCGCCACGUUUGGGAGUCCCCUGUACAGCUCAGGAGAUGGCUGGCAUUUCUCGAGAAGUUCCUCUGGAUUCCUCAACAAUGAAAGAUUGUUAGAUGUCCCUGGAAGACACUGGUGGGAGUAUCCAGGAGAAAGAGGCCCAGCCUGUAAUCUCGCAACUCAGGAGCCCCGGAAAGCAACAAAGUACACACAGCGCAGGUGAAAGAGUCACAUAGACACAAUGGGAGCUCUGUUGCUCGGGAAAGCAGGGUGACCACAGCUGUGUCUUCAAGGACAGCCUGGCAGAGAACACUCUUUCUCCUUUGUUUUCUGAGCUUGAGAAAAGUGGGGAGGAGGGGAAGAGACAUCGCCCAACUUUCCCCUGAGAGCAAUCGUCCACGAAAACUCACCUGUACUAAGA